CCUACGGGGGGCUGCAGUAAGGAAUAUUGGUCAAUGGAGGAAACUCUGAACCAGCCAUCCCGCGUGAAGGAUGAAGGGGCUCUGCCUUGUAAACUUCUUUUGUCUGGGGCGAAAAAGCUCGAUUUAUCGAGAACUGACGGUACCAGAAGAAUAAGCACAGGCUAACUCCGUGCCAGAAGCCGCGGUCAUACGGAGGGUGCAAGCGUUAUCCGGAAUAACUGGGUUGAAGGGGUCGUAGGGAGGCAGUGGAGAACGGCUGUGGCGUAACCAUGGAAUUGCCAUUGAGACUGCAGAGCUUGAAUGAGGUUGAGGUUGGCGGAAUGUGACAUGUAGCGGUGAAAUGCUUAGAUAUGUCAUGGAACACCGAUUGCGAAGGCAGCUGACUGGACCUAUAUUGACGCUGAGGCACGAAAGCGUGGGGAGCGAACAGGAUUAGAUACCCCAGUAGUC
rnacentral:rRNA from 1 species